UAGGGAAUCUUCCACAAUGGACGAAAGUCUGAUGGAGCAACGCCGCGUGAGUGAAGAAGGGUUUCGGCUACGUAAAACUCUGUUGUUAAAGAAGAACAUAUCUGAGAGUAACUGUUCAGGUAUUGACGGUAUUUAACCAGAAAGCCACGGCUAACUACGUGCCA
rnacentral:rRNA from 1 species